GUGGAAUUAGCUCAGUUGGUUAGAGCGCCAGAUUGUGGCUUUGGAGGUCAUGGGUUCGAUUCCCAUAUUCCACCCCA
rnacentral:tRNA from 1 species